AAUGGGUUAGACUUUGUCGUCUAUAUAUGCUUUCAGUUUUUGCUUAUUAAUUAUAUAAAUAGAGUAAGAAAAAAGGGCUAAAUUUGAUUAUAUAUAUAUAUAUAUAUAUAUAUAUAUAUCUAUGUUCUUUGUUUCUUUCAUUCUUUCUGUGUAUGGAUGUUAGCGUGGUCUUGCAGGCGAAAGAAGUAGAGGCGCGUAGAAGAUGGUGGGUGGCGCGUGAAUGAAAUCGAAGAGGUUUUAUGGCGGAAGAUGAGUUUUGAUAAUUGGAUGAAGGUAUUGACGUGUCUCAAUUUGAAAGGUACAUGGUUUAAUGUUUGCUAAAAAAAUUGGGAAAAUUAUUAAUUUGUGUUAGGGCUUAGCCGUGUGUGUUUUCUGAUUGAGCCGCGUCAAUAUCUCUUCUCAAAUUUUGCACCUCCGCCAACCUUUCUCUCUAUCAAGAUAUCUAGACCAGACUCUAUAAUCUUAGCAGUUAAUUGAGCAUAAGUAAGGUUUUUCCAAGGUAUUUGCUCGGGGUAUGAUCGUGGUUUAAGAGCUAAGCUUAUCGCUGCCAAAGAUCUAGUUUACCCAUCAAGUUCAGGUGCUCGUCAUCCAUAGAGGACUUAAGUAUAAUAUGUUUAGUAGUGUGGUACGAAUUGGUUGUAAUAUUCUAUUUGUAACUAGAAUUGGCAUUGUAUCGCUCUAAAGGCUUAUGAUUUUGCAUAUGAAUAGUCUCACUCUGAGUCAAGUUUCAGUUUAGUUUUCAAGUAUGUGUUGUUACAGAGAAUCGACAUAUACUGGCUUUACAUCUCAUCUCGUAGCUAGAGAUGGUGCUAGGGAAGGGGUGUGACACAACUUAACUCUUAUCUGCACAUGAUAGCUAGCUUUUGAUCAUGAAUAAGACUAAUGGUUUUGUAUA